UUGGUUUAGAUAGCCGUACCAAACGGUGUAGUGCUAUAAAAGUGUCAUAUAAAAAUAUAUUGGCGUGUGUCAUUUGACAAUUAGAAAUAUAUUUAAUCUAAUUUUAUUUUUUUUACUUUCCUUGCACUGAAUAUAUUAGUCAACAUUAAAUUCAAAAUAAAAUAGCAAUAAUAUAGUGUUAAAAAAACACUUUCAUCAACCUUUCGUACCCCCUUUACACACAUCCAACAUAUAUACAAAAUGCAAUCAAUAAAAGCGGAUGAACUGCCGGAAAAUCCCCGCGAGCGUGCGAAUCCACUCUCAACGCUUAUGUUUUGUUUUACAAUGCCCACAUUUUUUAAGGGCCGAAAAAAAACUUUAGAUCAAAAUGAUCUCUAUCGAGCUUUACAGGAACAUAGAUCAG